AAGGGAAGGUGGAGAGGAAGGUAGAGAGAGAGAAGGAGAAAAUGAAAGAGAAAGAGGAUGCAGAGGAGGAGGAAGAUGAAGAAAAUCGGAGCAGAAGCACGACCUAGAAAAAUCACUUCCACCUUCUUGCUGCUUCUUCACUUGGUCAUGUGUGUAAAGAAAGGAAAAAGGCAAGGAUCACUCUUGUUGCUUCUUUGAAGAGCUUGACAUCAUUCUUCUCAUGAUCUAUUUCCUUCCAAAAGGCUCCCAUAUAUGAAAUUUAAGAGGACACAAUUCAGCCCAAUGCAGAUUUCUUCCCAUUGAAAGCUACUACAGACGGAAGAAUGCUGUCCUCUGAGAGGCUCCACCCAGCAGCUGACUCAGACAGAUAACAGAGACCUACAGCCAAACAGUGGAUGGAGCUUGGGGAUUCUUAUGGAAGGAUUGAAGGCCCAGAAAAGGAUAAGAACUCCACAGGAAGACCAAUAUUGCUCCAUGGGCAGGAAAAAUCCAGAAGCAACUCUCCCCCCCCCUCUUCAAACACACAGAUCUUCAAGACAGUUUUGCAGUGAGCUGCAACUGUGCAAGGAUGUUUAUUUCAAUAAUGCCCAAGGGAAGUAAGACAUACCUGGAGUUACAGAGAAGGAACUUGUGAAAAGUCCUAUUGUGCUGCUCACCAGCAUUCCAGGAAGAUUAGAGACGUGGUGGAGAAUAAACCAGACAACUGUGGUCAGCUGGAAAAGACAGUCACUAUUGCCAACUUUUAUCAAAGUGGAGUCUGUUAGGCUCCACUUCCCUGUGCCAUCUAUCUAGUGGAAAUUAAAACACCCAGACCCUCCAUUCAAAGAACGCAGUAUGUAGAAUGGUUGACAGUUUGAAUCGCUAAGGUUGGGAAGCCACAAAUACAGGAAGCACUUUAGAUUUGGCUCACAGAGAAUUCCAGGGUUGCCAGAGAUAACCUAGGAUCCAAGUAUUCUUUUACAGCAACAACCUUGCCUCAUAGCUUUUCUAACUUCAAAUCUCAGAGUAGUUUAUAUUGCUUUGUUCUGUACACAGGUGAGCUGCUUACCUAAAACACUAGGCCUCUGGGGUGCUAUUAUGUUUGCAUAAAGUCUAUUACUUAGAUGAGGUAAAGGUGUCGAGGCAGAAAGGGAAUUGCAUUUCAACUAAAGGAAUUUAAAGUGUAUACAUAAGAAGGGGAAUGUUCAGUUUACUUUGAAAGGGAUCAUUGGAUUGUUGUAAAAUAAGAGCUAGAAGAUACAUUGAGAUGCAUGCAUAUAAAUACAAUGGGCGCAUACUCCUAUGUAGACAUAUAUACUAGUAUAACCUCUGGCAUCUACAUUUCAAGUCCUGUGCUCUGUAAGCAUUUUGUGGGGCUUCAGUAUUGUUAUUUCCAAAUGUUAUUUCCUUUGUAGUGCCCAGUAUGGUGGUAUCAGAUGGGCUUGUUACACACUUCUUUGUGUACCUGUCCAUUCAUACUUGGGUAUCUGGUUCUAUCACUUCCUCUGGUAAUGGAGUCAUUUAGGUAUAAACACCUUCUUAUGUCUUCUCCUAGACUUCAAAGCAUCACUAAACAGCUGAAGCUUAGUCUCAUAAUAUUUUUGAUGAACA
rnacentral:lncRNA from 1 species